UAGGACUGUCACUGGCCUUUGGUCGAAUGCCCCCACUUAAUUUACUGAACUGGAGAAGAUGGAGAAGAGGGACAGAAAAAUUAGGUCAAGGCACCGGAGAACUGCGGGGCAAAUAGUGAGAGGGCAGGCGUCUGCUGUAGUAGCGAUGAAGCGUGAAAAAAAAAUACGACAGAGUCCCCGAGGGAAGAGAACCCGGAGCUGUGAGCGCCAUCCUCCUGUGGAAAGUAGGCGGCGGCUUUAAGAGACUGAGCCGGGAGAAUUUCCAAUAAACAGCCUAAAGGCGGAGCCUGGGGAGAAGACAGAAAGUUACACUCGC
ensembl:lncRNA